UUCGGAGGUACUCGAGUGGCGAACGGGUGAGUAACACGUGGGUAAUCUGCCCUGCACUUCGGGAUAAGCCUGGGAAAUCUAACUGGGUCUAAUACCGGAUAGGACCUUUUGGCGCAUGCCUUUUGGUGGAAAGCUUUUGCGGANNUUUGCGNUUGUGGGAUGGGCCCGCGGCCUAUCAGCUUGUUGGUGGGGUGACGGCCUACCAAGGCGACGACGGGUAGCCGGCCUGAGAGGGUGUCCGGCCACACUGGGACUGAGAUACGGCCCAGACUCCUACGGGAGGCAGCAGUGGGGAAUAUUGCACAAUGGGCGCAAGCCUGAUGCAGCGACGCCGCGUGGGGGAUGACGGCCUUCGGGUUGUAAACCUCUUUCAGCAGGGACGAAGCGCAAGUGACGGUACCUGCAGAAGAAGCACCGGCCAACUACGUGCCAGCAGCCGCGGUAAUACGUAGGGUGCGAGCGUUGUCCGGAAUUACUGGGCGUAAAGAGCUCGUAGGUGGUUUGUCGCGUUGUUCGUGAAAACCGGGGGCUUAACCCUCGGCGUGCGGGCGAUACGGGCAGACUGGAGUACUGCAGGGGAGACUGGAAUUCCUGGUGUAGCGGUGGAAUGCGCAGAUAUCAGGAGGAACACCGGUGGCGAAGGCGGGUCUCUGGGCAGUAACUGACGCUGAGGAGCGAAAGCGUGGGGAGCGAACAGGAUUAGAUACCCUGGUAGUCCACGCCGUAAACGGUGGGUACUAGGUGUGGGUUUCCUUCCUUGGAAUCCGUGCCGUAGCUAACGCAUUAAGUACCCCGCCUGGGGAGUACGGCCGCAAGGCUAAAACUCAAAGGAAUUGACGGGGGCCCGCACAAGCGGCGGAGCAUGUGGAUUAAUUCGAUGCAACGCGAAGAACCUUACCUGGGUUUGACAUGCACAGGACGCCGGCAGAGAUGUCGGUUCCCUUGUGGCCUGUGUGCAGGUGGUGCAUGGCUGUCGUCAGCUCGUGUCGUGAGAUGUUGGGUUAAGUCCCGCAACGAGCGCAACCCUUGUCUCAUGUUGCCAGCGGGUAAUGCCGGGGACUCGUGAGAGACUGCCGGGGUCAACUCGGAGGAAGGUGGGGAUGACGUCAAGUCAUCAUGCCCCUUAUGUCCAGGGCUUCACACAUGCUACAAUGGCCGGUACAAAGGGCUGCGAUGCCGUAAGGUUAAGCGAAUCCUUUUAAAGCCGGUCUCCAGUUCGGAUCGGGGUCUGCAACUCGACCCCCNGUGAAGUCGGAGUCGCUAGUAAUCGCAGAUCAGCAACGCUGCGGUGAAAUACGUUCCCGGGCCUUGUACACACCGCCCCNGUCACGUCAUGAAAGUCGGUAACACCCGAAGCC
rnacentral:rRNA from 2 species